rnacentral:tRNA from 1 species
UCGCGACGCGGCCUGGCGCAUCCAUGCCCUGCUUCCUGUGCAUGGGGCGCAAGGGGGGCGCGGGUUCGACGCCCGCCAUCCCGACCC